CAGCAGCCGCGGGAAUACGAAGGGGGCUAGCGUUGCUCGGAAUCACUGGGCGUAAAGGGUGCGUAGGCGGGUUUUUAAGUCAGAGGUGAAAUCCUGGAGCUCAACUCCAGAACUGCCUUUGAUACUGGAAAUCUUGAGUAUGGGAGAGGUGAGUGGAAUUGCGAGUGUAGAGGUGAAAUUCGUAGAUAUUCGCAAGAACACCAGUGGCGAAGGCGGCUCACUGGCCCAUAACUGACGCUGAGGCACGAAAGCGUGGGGAGCAAACAGGAUUAGAUACCCGUGUAGUCCCUGUCUCUUAUAC
rnacentral:rRNA from 1 species